rnacentral:sRNA from 1 species
GGCCACCAAGAGGCAACAGGCGGCAGGUUGCAGUGGAGGGGCCUCCGCUCCCCUCGGUGGUGUGUGGGUCCUGGGGGUGCCCGCCGGCCCGGCCGAGGAAGCCCACGCCCACCAUGGUCCCCUGCUGGAACCACGGCAACAUCACCCGCUCCAAGGCGGAGGAGCUGCUUUCCAGGACGGGCAAGGACGGGAGCUUCCUCGUGCGUGCCAGCGAGUCCAUCUCCCGGGCAUACGCGCUCUGCGUGCUGUAUCGGAAUUGCGUUUACACUUACAGAAUUCUGCCCAAUGAAGACGAUAAAUUCACUGUUCAGGCAUCCGAAGGCGUCUCCAUGAGGUUCUUCACCAAGCUGGACCAGCUCAUCGAGUUUUACAAGAAGGAAAACAUGGGGCUGGUGACCCAUCUGCAAUACCCUGUGCCGCUGGAGGAAGAGGACACAGGCGACGACCCUGAGGAGGACACAGUAGAAAGUGUCGUGUCUCCACCCGAGCUGCCCCCAAGAAACAUCCCGCUGACUGCCAGCUCCUGUGAGGCCAAGGAGGUUUCUUUUUCAAACGAGAAUCCCCGAGCGACCGAGACCAGCCGGCCGAGCCUCUCCGAGACAUUGUUCCAGCGACUGCAAAGCAUGGACACCAGUGGGCUUCCAGAAGAGCAUCUUAAGGCCAUCCAAGAUUAUUUAAGCACUCAGCUCGCCCAGGACUCUGAAUUUGUGAAGACGGGGUCCAGCAGUCUUCCUCACCUGAAGAAACUGACCACACUGCUCUGCAAGGAGCUCUAUGGAGAAGUCAUCCGGACCCUCCCAUCCCUGGAGUCUCUGCAGAGGUUAUUUGACCAGCCGCUCUCCCCGGGCCUCCGUCCACGUCCUCAGGUAAAGGGUCUUGGGGUUGAAAAGGUGAGAUUAAUACACCAGGGAGGAGGAUUGAGUUAGCCAGUCCUGAGGGCUCAGGAGGAAGAGGGGAGCACUGCCCAUUGUGUGUUCACUGGGCAACAGCAAGCAGGUACGCAUGGGUUGGGGGUGGGAGCCUCAGCCCCUGCCCUUUCCAGGAAGCCGUCUCCCACUGCCAGAUUUUGAUUUGAGGAAUAAAGAUUUCAAAUUAUGCACUCAUCAGCAAAACUUAUUUGUGCCAAAUAAGGGGGUAAGCAGGGCCUGUUCCCAUCAUUUCUUAUCAGAAACUGAAAGGAAAGAAAAAGAGGAGAUGUCUAAACUCUUGAUCCUGCCUCUUGUCCCAGGAGGAGCAGGAUGAAGGUGCCCCCCAACCCCCGCACCUGCUCAUGGCCUGGCAGGAGGCCAAGGUCGUGUUGCCCAUUAAGCAAAUGUCUGUGUAACAAAAGGUGUCAUCAAUAAAGUUUUAACAAGUUUUUUUAAAAAGCAAAAGCUGUAUCUUAGGAGAAAAUACCUGCAACAAAGAUUAGGGACGAAGGAUUGCAGACGAAGUAUUCAUGUUUAUAUUAUUAUUUUUAUUUGAGACAUGGUCUUGCUUUGUCGCCCAGGCUGGCGUGCAGUGGCACAAUCACAGCUCACUGCAUCCUCAAACAUCGGGGCUCAAGCGAUCCACCCCACCUGAGCCUCCCAUGUAUUAAAACUGCAAUACUUUUGCACCAGCUAAUAGCUGGGGAUUACAGGUGUAUGCCACCAUGCCAAUCUCCUUUUAAAAUUUUUUGUAGAGACAGAUCUCACUGUGUUGCCCAGGUUGGUUUCAAACUUCUGGCCAUCUUCCUGCCCCAGCCUUCUGAAGUGCUGGGAUUACAGGUGGGAGCCACCAUGCCUGGCCAUUUUUUAAAAAAUUCCUACAAAUAAUUAAGUAAAAACAAUCCAAUUUUUAGAAUGCGGAAAGGCUAUAAACAAGGCGGUUCACUGAAGAGGGACAGGGAAUAGCCAGUAUAGAUAUGAAAAGGUGUUCAACCUCACCUUGUUAGUAACCGGGAAAUGACAUUUGACACUAGGCAGCCUCUUCUUGCCUAUUAGAUGGACAAAGAGUUGAUGCUCAAGUUGAUGGUUGAGUCAGGACUUGGCUAGGGUGUGGGGUGGAGGAGGUGCUCACAGGGGCUCACUCCUCUGCUGUUGGGAAUGGAAAUGGGUUUUCUGAACGGCAGUUUGGCCAUUUGUAUGAAAAUGUGAACUGCAGGCAUCCCUCAAGCCCACAGUUCCAUAUGUUGGCAGCUUCUUAGGGACUACAAGUACACAAAGAGUAACAGAGAAAAAACAUUGAAAAUCACAUAAACAGGCCGGGCGUGGUAGUUCACGCCUGUAAUCCCAGUACUUUGGGAGGCCGAAGCGGGUGGAUCACCUGAGGUUGGGAAUUCGAGACCAACCUGACCAACAUGGUGAAACGCUGUCUCUACCAAAAAUACAAAAAUUAGCCAGGCAUGGUGGUGGGCGCCUGUAAUCCCAGCUACUCGGGAGGCUGAGGCAGGAGCAUUGCUUGAACCCGGGAGGUGGACGUUGCAGUGAGCCGAGAUGGCGCCACUGCACUCCAGCCUGGGUGACAGAGUGAGACUCCAUCUCCACCUAAAACAAAAAAAAAAAGGAAAAAGAAAAAAAGAAAA